GAUGAUCCCAAAUUUUUACUUGUGGAUAUGGUCAAGUUGAAGGAAAAAAGAUAGGAAUGUAUAAGCAACCAUCAAAUAUCAUUAGGCAUAGGCAAUCUCCAAGGGUUUUAGCUCUUUUCAUUUCGUUACCAGCCAUUUCCACUAAAAAUCAUCAUGUUAAGGUUCAAGACAAUUAUAUUUGGAUACGUUCCGUGAAUGCCAGUAGCAAGAGACAUUGAAUCAUUGAUAAUCCUUUUAUUGUUACUUGAUAGUUUCAGAACAUCUGUUAGUUUACUCUACAAAAUUAAUUUUAAGCUCCCGUGAAGGUUGGAACAACAAGGAAGAUGGUAGUAGUGGAAAAUGGAAAGAGGUGGGGAGAAGUCAAUCUUUCUAUCUUAGAAAAUUUGGUCCAUCUGCGCCAUAAGUUUGCUUAGUUACUUGGCUAUUCAAACUAUGCUGUUGAUCUUAGAAUGGCAAAGACGCCCGCAAAGGUUUGUCUGAUCUUGCCUUAUUGUUAAGAUAAUAUGUGCAGUGGUAACUUGGUGAAGUGAGACGAAGACAAAAGAAAAUUAUUCACGAUGCAUUUGUUUUGUUCUUCUUUCUAAAUUUUGUUGAGGAUGGGUUGGUCAACUGGGGAUAUCUUAACCCAUUCUUCAGGAUUGAUGUGCAUUAUUUUUGAAGCACUACACUAAGAAUGUAAAGGAUAAGAAAUCAACUGUGUAAGUGGCCUGUUUCCGGUGAACCUCGAAUCUGUUCACUUCUUUUCCACUAAGCAGAAGUCUAGAGAGAUGUAUAUUCUAAAAAUCCCCUGUUUGGUCGGUCCCUCCCUGAAUUGGGAGGUGCAGGCGUAAUCCAUCAUGAGUGAUUCAUCAUCAAGGGGGUUUACUUAUUUCCCUUCUGAAAGUGCAUAGAUCAUUGGGAUCAUUCGGUUGUUGGUGCAUGUCAUUUAGCUUUUCAGAUUCUCAAGGGACCUCAGGCCUUAGUUGACUGACAAUGGCUAAUUAAGGAAGCUUGAGUAAAUUCUGCUGGGAUUAUUGGCUGUUCUGCUUCGUGAUCUUUAUGAUAUGCAGUGGAAACAACAUCAGUAUCGAGGGGACUGGUGUGGGGACCAUUAUUUGCAUGUUAAAGGGUUACGAAAGGCUAGAGAGGUGAGAUCCCAGCUGCUAGAGAUCUUGAAGACACUGAAAAUCCCACUGACGACUUGUUGGCCUGACACUGAUGUUGUUAGAAAAGCUAUCUGCUCUGCAUACUUCCACAAUUCUGCUAGAUUGAAGGGUGUGGGGGGGUAUGUUAAUUCCAGAACUGGGAUGCCAUGCCAUCUACAUCCGAGCAGUGCUUUCUAUGGUAUGGGAUGCACUCCAGACUAUGUUGUUUAUCAUGAACUGAUUUUG